AUAUAUAUAGAAUUAUGCUACUAUACUAUCAAUAGUACCAACCCCUUGGUACUAUUGAGUUUUCGGCCGUUGGAUGAAAGGAUGUGCGGUUAGGAUGAUAGUGGUCCCCGGUUAAAUUGAUAGUGGUCCCCUAGGGUUGAGUGAGUGGUCGGUUUAAUAGUAUAAUCUAACGGGUGGAAAUGAUCAAGGGGUAGAUCUAAUGGUCGAAAACUCUAUAGUACCAAAGGCUUGGUACUAUCGGUAGUAUAGUAGCCGGACUCUAUAUAUAUAUAUAUAUAUAUAUAUAUAUCUUAUUUGAUGUUUCAAUAAAAUUGUAAAAUAUAUCUAAUUUAUUUAUAUUUUUAUUUAAAG
rnacentral:lncRNA from 1 species